AACGAACGCUGGCGGCAUGCCUAACACAUGCAAGUCGAACGAGAACUUCGGGUCUAGUGGCGCACGGGUGCGUAAAGCGUGGGAAUCUGCCCUUUGGUUCGGAAUAACAGUUGGAAACGACUGCUAAUACCGGUUGAUGACGAAAGUCCAAAGAUUUAUCACCAGAGGAUGAGCCCGCGUAGGAUUAGCUAGUUGGUGUGGUAAAGGCGCACCAAGGCGACGAUCCUUAGCUGGUCUGAGAGGAUGAUCAGCCACACUGGGACUGAGACACGGCCCAGACUCCUACGGGAGGCAGCAGUGGGGAAUAUUGGACAAUGGGAGAAAGCCUGAUCCAGCAAUGCCGCGUGAGUGAUGAAGGCCUUAGGGUUGUAAAGCUCUUUUACCCGGGAUGAUAAUGACAGUACCGGGAGAAUAAGCUCCGGCUAACUCCGUGCCAGCCGCCGCAGUAA
rnacentral:rRNA from 1 species